rnacentral:rRNA from 1 species
UACGAAGGGUGCAAGCGUUACUCGGAAUUACUGGGCGUAAAGCGUGCGUAGGUGGUUUGUUAAGUCUGAUGUGAAAGCCCUGGGCUCAACCUGGGAAUUGCAUUGGAUACUGGCAGACUUGAGUGUGGUAGAGGCAAUCGGAAUUCCAGGUGUAGCGGUGAAAUGCGUAGAUAUCUGGAAGAACACCGGUGGCGCAAGCGGAUUGCUGGGCCAUAACUGACACUGAGGAACGAAAGCUAGGGGAGCAAAUGGG